rnacentral:rRNA from 1 species
UACAGAGGUCCCAAGCGUUGUUCGGAUUCACUGGGCGUAAAGGGUGCGCAGGCGGCCGAGUGUGUGAGGCGUGAAAGCCCGGGGCUUAACCCCGGAAUUGCACCUCAAACUACACGGCUAGAGCAUUGGAGAGGGUAGCAGAAUUCAUGGUGUAGCAGUGAAAUGCGUAGAUAUCAUGAGGAAUACCAGAGGCGAAGGCGGCUACCUGGACAAUUGCUGACGCUCAGGCACGAAAGCGUGGGGAGCGAAAGGG